UACGGGGGGAGCAAACGUUGUUCGGAAUCACUGGGCGUAAAGGGCGUGUAGGCGGCUGAAUAAGUGGGAUGUUAAAUCCCCCGGCUCAACCGGGGACCUGCAUCUCAUACUGUUCAGCUCGAGCACAUCAGAGGAGACUGGAAUUCCCGGUGUAGCGGUGAAAUGCGUAGAUAUCGUGAGGAAGACCAGUGGCGAAGGCGGGUCUCUGGACAGUUCCUGACACUGAGGCACGAAGGCCAGGGGAGCAAACGGG
rnacentral:rRNA from 1 species